AGUGAACGCUGGCGGUAGGCAUAACACAUGCAAGUCGAACGGCAGCACAGGAGAGCUUGCUCUCUGGGUGGCGAGUGGCGGACGGGUGAGGAAUACAUCGGAAUCUACUUUUUCGUGGGGGAUAACGUAGGGAAACUUACGCUAAUACCGCAUACGACCUACGGGUGAAAGCAGGGGACCUUCGGGCCUUGCGCGAUUGAAUGAGCCGAUGUCGGAUUAGCUAGUUGGCGGGGUAAAGGCCCACCAAGGCGACGAUCCGUAGCUGGUCUGAGAGGAUGAUCAGCCACACUGGAACUGAGACACGGGCCAGACUCCUACGGGAGGCAGCAGUGGGGAAUAUUGGACAAUGGGCGCAAGCCUGAUCCAGCCAUACCGCGUGGGUGAAGAAGGCCUUCGGGUUGUAAAGCCCUUUUGUUGGGAAAGAAAUCCAGCCGGCUAAUACCUGGUUGGGAUGACGGUACCCAAAGAAUAAGCACCGGCUAACUUCGUGCCAGCCGCCGCCGCAG
rnacentral:rRNA from 1 species